UACGAAGGGGGCUAGCGUUGUUCGGAAUCACUGGGCGUAAAGCGCACGUAGGCGGAUUGUUAAGUCGGGGGUGAAAGCCUGUGGCUCAACCACAGAAUUGCCUUCGAUACUGCAUGGCUUGAGACCGGAAGAGGUUAGUGGAACUGCGAGUGUAGAGGUGAAAUUCGUAGAUAUUCGCAAGAACACCAGUGGCGAAGGCGGCUGACUGGUCCGGUUCUGACGCUGAGGCGCGAAAAGCGUGGGGAGCAAACAGG
rnacentral:rRNA from 1 species